GUAAUGGUUUUAUUUAAAACCAUAUUACAUAUUUUAUGGAAUAUCA
rfam:Picea glauca, whole genome shotgun sequence.